AGGCAGAGCACCCUAAAGCGAGCGGCUGGGGUGCAUUGUAGUUGCAUUGCACGUCGUGUCCGGGCCGUGCAAUGUUUCCACAGUGCAUCCCAGAGGCCCGCGCUGCCGCCGCCGCCGCCA
rnacentral:precursor_RNA from 15 species